rnacentral:rRNA from 1 species
CCCUUAGAUGUUCUGGGCCGCACACGCGCUACACUGAAGGAGGCAGCGUGUACUCCUGGAUCGAAAGAUUUGGGUAACCCGCGAAUCUCCUUCGUGCUAGGGAUUGAGGUUUGCAAUUAUCCUUCAUGAACGAGGAAUUCCCAGUAAGUGCAAGUCAUAAGCUUGCGCUGACUACGUCCCUGCCCUUUGUACACACCGCCCGUCGCUACUACCGAUUGAAUGAUUUAGUGAGGACUUCGGACUGGGACCGAUGCGGCUUUCGGGCUGCGUCGGUAUUCUGGAAAGAUGUCAAAACUGUAUCAUUUAGAGGAAGUAAAAGUCGUANCA